UUGGAGGSCAAGUCUGGUGCCAGCAGCCGCGGUAAUUCCAGCUCCAAUAGCGUAUAUUAAAGUUGUUGCAGUUAAAAAGCUCGUAGUUGAAUUUCGGGAUCAGAGUGUCGGUCGUGCCUCGGUACGCACUGGUAUUAUUGGUUCCUACCUUCUGAAGAACCGCGAUGUCAUUAAUUUGGUGUCGUGGGGAAUCAGGACUGUUACUUUGAGGAAAUUAGAGUGUUUAAAGCAGGCUUACGCUUGAAUACAUUAGCAUGGAAUAAUGAAAUAGGACGUUUGAUUCUAUUUUGUUGGUUUCUAGGAUUGACGUAAUGAUUAAUAGGGAUAGUUGGGGGCAUUAGUAUUCAAUUGUCAGAGGUGAAAUUCUUGGAUUUAUUGAAGACUAACUACUGCGAAAGCAUUUGCCAAGGAUGUUUUCAUUAAUCAAGAACGAAAGUUAGGGGAUCGAAGACGAUCAGAUACCGUCGUAGUCUUAACCAUAAACUAUGCCGACUAGGGAUCGGAUGAUGUUAAUUUUUUAAUGACUCAUUCGGCGCCUUACGGGAAACCAAAGUGUUUGGGUUC
rnacentral:rRNA from 1 species